AGUGAACGCUGGCGGUAGGCCUAACACAUGCAAGUCGAACGGCAGCACAGUAAGAGCUUGCUCUUACGGGUGGCGAGUGGCGGACGGGUGAGGAAUACAUCGGAAUCUACUUUUUCGUGGGGGAUAACGUAGGGAAACUUACGCUAAUACCGCAUACGACCUACGGGUGAAAGCAGGGGAUCUUCGGACCUUGCGCGAUUGAAUGAGCCGAUGUCGGAUUAGCUAGUUGGCGGGGUAAAGGCCCACCAAGGCGACGAUCCGUAGCUGGUCUGAGAGGAUGAUCAGCCAUACUGGAACUGAGACACGGUCCAGACUCCUACGGGAGGCAGCAGUGGGGAAUAUUGGACAAUGGGCGCAAGCCUGAUCCAGCCAUACCGCGUGGGUGAAGAAGGCCUUCGGGUUGUAAAGCCCUUUAGUUGGGAAAGAAAAGCAGCAGGUUAAUACCCCGCUGUUCUGACGGUACCCAAAGAAUAAGCACCGGCUAACUUCGUG
rnacentral:rRNA from 1 species